CUGAAGGCCUAUAGGUUCACCACUGUACUAACCUGUCACACACUGAAGGCCUAUAGGUUCACCACUGUACUAACCUGUCACACACUGAAGGCCUAUAGGUUCACCACUGUACUAACCUGUCACACACUGAAGGCCUAUAGGUUCACCACUGUACUAACCUGUCACAUACUGAAGGCCUAUAGGUUCCCACUGUACUAACCUGUUACACUGAAGGCCUAUAGGUUCACCACUGUACUAACCUGUCACAUACUGAAGGCCUAUAGGUUCACCACUGUACUAACCUGUCACAUACUGAAGGCCUAUAGGUUCACCACUGUACUAACCUGUCACAUACUGAAGACCUAUAGGUUCACCACUGUACUAACCUGUCACAUACUGAAGACCUAUAGGUUCACCACUGUACUAACCUGUCACACACUGAAGACCUAUAGGUUCACCACUGUACUAACCUGUCACAUACUGAAGACCUAUAGGUUCACCACUGUACUAACCUGUCACAUACUGAAGACCUAUAGGUUCACCACUGUACUAACCUGUCACACACUGAAGACCUAUAGGUUCAC